CGAUGGACCUUCACGUGUCUUCAUGGACCCUAAAAGCGGCAGCGAGCUGUGGAGCGGCCGCCGGGCUCCAGCAGCGCCGCUGCCCCCCGGGAUGCAAGGAGCCCCGGGGCCGCCCUCGGGCCGCCGAGCUGCUCCUCCUCGGGGUCCUCACCUGCUAUUCACACUGAGACAUAGGAAAUGCUUUCUGGUCGUCGUUCUGGCAUGGGGGUGAUUGCUGCUCUGGGGAUGUUAUGGCAGCACGGGUGGUGCCUUCUACUUAAGGAUAGACAGUGGUGUCCCUUCUCCUGGGGAACGUAACGAGUCGGUGUGCGGCACGGGUCCGAGCUACGUGCUCCCACCUCGGGACCAGCCCGGGACAGGGACGCGCCGCUGGGGGAAACGAAGGGGACGCGUCCCGCGGAGGCAGCGGGGCGAGCUGGGCGCUGCGCAGAGCCUCGGACGGAGCGCCGGGCAAAACGCGGAGCCGGAGGGAAGCGAUCCCCGGCCCUCUUUACCCUCGUCUGGGGACGCGGCUUUGGCGCAGGGUGGAACAGGAACGGCCCCAACGGGCUCAGAGCUGCUGCGGGCGGCCUCCCGCAAACGGGCACCGAGCGGUUCAUUUUAGGUGAAGGAAUGUCAUUUCGCUACUAAAUGUGAUAUUAAGUUUCCCCCGCCCUUGGAACACGACACUCCGCAAAGUUUCCCUCUCGAUAUUGAUUUGGCCGCUCCGAGACGGACCGGGGUCAGCAGUGUUUACCGAGGAGCGAUCCGCACUAUUGGCUGCCCGGAGGAACGCGAACACCGCACCCAGCGCACGGGGCCGGCCGGGUUCCUUCCCAUUCCCCCCCGGCUCUCCCCGCUGCUCUCCGCAAUAAGCGGGGCCGCCCCCCGCGCCCCUCCGUGUCAUCGCGCAGCGGUAAUUGCGGAGCUCUUUGCGAAGGGAGAGCGCCAACAGCGCGGCCGGGAUGGGGCUUCCGUACCGAUCGGCUUGAGGAGCUUUGACAGCCUGAAUUCCGCCGGCUCCGGACUCCUCCUGCGGGAGGGAUCGUUCUCCAGGGCCCGGCGCUCCCUGCCGUGGGGGGCCGCUCCUGGAGAGCAACCCGCUCGCUAUUGCAAGAAAAAAUGGAAUAUUGUUAAUAAAUAAUAGUAAACAAAUCGCGCACAGCCGGGAGGCGGAGGAGUGCUGCACAUCCACACGUCUGUUGUAACCGCGCUUCGGCAAUUGUCUGAAAAUGACAAAAAAUAAAAAUAGAAUAUCGGCAAAAUAGUUCA
rnacentral:lncRNA from 1 species